AUUUAAAUAGUUUUAAAAAAAAUUUUGAUUUGUGGUGUCAAAGAUAUGAAUAAUUUCAUUUUAAAUC
rnacentral:tRNA from 1 species